GUGGCGAACGGGUGAGUAACACGUGGGUAAUCUGCCCUGUACUCUGGGAUAAGCCUGGGAAACUGGGUCUAAUACCGGAUAUGACCUUUCACCGCAUGGUGGGGGGUGGAAAGUUCCGGCGGUAUGGGAUGAACCCGCGGCCUAUCAGCUUGUUGGUGGGGUAAUGGCCUACCAAGGCGACGACGGGUAGCCGGCCUGAGAGGGUGACCGGCCACACUGGGACUGAGACACGGCCCAGACUCCUACGGGAGGCAGCAGUGGGGAAUAUUGCACAAUGGGCGCAAGCCUGAUGCAGCGACGCCGCGUGAGGGAUGACGGCCUUCGGGUUGUAAACCUCUUUCGCCAGGGACGAAGCGCGAGUGACGGUACCUGGAUAAGAAGCACCGGCUAACUACGUGCCAGCAGCCGCGGUAAUACGUAGGGUGCGAGCGUUAAUCGGAAUUACUGGGCGUAAAGCGUGUGUAGGCGGCCAUGCAAGUCGGAU
rnacentral:rRNA from 1 species